AUACGGAGGAUGCGAGCGUUAUCCGGAUUUAUUAGGUUUAAAGGGUGUGUAGGCGGUAUUUUAAGUCAGUGGUGAAAUCUCGGAGCUUAACUUCGAAACUGCCAUUGAUACUGGAAUACUUGAGUAUAGUUGAGGUAGGCGGAAUAUGUAAUGUAGCGGUGAAAUGCAUAGAUAUUACAUAGAACACCGAUUGCGAAGGCAGCUUGCUAAACUAUUACUGACGCUGAUGCACGAAAGCGUGGGGAGCGAACAGGAUUAGAAACCCUAGUAGUCC
rnacentral:rRNA from 1 species